CGCAUCUGUGCAUGCAGCAUAUCAAUAAGCGGAGGAAAAGAGGGCUAUUACCUACGCUUAGGAUGUUGACACACGCGCGUGCUCGAGUCUAUACAUGACUCUGUGCAUAUCAAUAAGCGGAGGAAAAGAAACUAACAAGGAUUCCCCUAGUAACGGCGAGUGAAGCGGGAAGAGCUCAGAUUUGAAAUCUUAAAGGGUUUCCCUUUACGAAUUGUAGUUUAAAGAAGUGUUUUCUGUUGAGGUUUUGGUAAAAGUUCAUUUGGAAUAGGACAUCAUAGAGGGUGAGAAUCCCGUAUUUGACCUUUACUUUCAACUUUGUGAUACACUUUCAAAGAGUCGGAUUGUUUGGGAAUGCAGGUCCAAAAUGGGUGGUAAAUUUCAUCUAAAGCUAAAUAUUGGCGAGAGACCGAUAGCGAACAAGUACCGUGAGGGAAAGAUGAAAAGAACUUUGAAAAGAGAGUUAAACAGUACGUGAAAUUGUCAAAAGGGAAGCGUUUGACACCAGUGUUGUUUUUCUGAAAAUCAAUUAAAGAACUGUUUAUGCUAAGCUGUUUAGACUUUAUCAGCUAACUGUUUAGUUUUGAGCUUUUCUUUAAUGCACUUUUCAGUUAACAAGUCAACAUCAAUUUCUUUUGCUGUAAAAAAGCUUGAGGAAGGUGGCUUGAGAUUCGUCUUAAGUGUUUAUAGCCUCUUGCCUAUGCAGUCGGAGAGAUUGAGGUCUGCAGCGUAGAUCCUUCAGGGCUAAAUGCAUUUGUGCUAAGUUAUAGCAUUUUAUAGACAACUUGUUGACUAUGAUUUGUCUUGUAGCUUACUCGCUUAUGUUAUUUUACCUACGCUUAGGAUGUUGAGUCGUAGAGCACGCAG
rnacentral:rRNA from 1 species